rnacentral:rRNA from 1 species
GGGUUGUGAGGUUAAGCGACUAAGCGUACACGGUGGAUGCCCUGGCAGUCAGAGGCGAUGAAGGGCGUGCUAAUCUGCGAUAAGCGCCGGUAAGGUGAUAUGAACCGUUAUAACCGGCGAUACCCGAAUGGGGAAACCCAGUGUGACUCGUCACACUAUCAUUAACUGAAUCCAUAGGUUAAUGAGGCGAACCGGGGGAACUGAAACAUCUAAGUACCCCGAGGAAAAGAAAUCAACCGAGAUUCCCCCAGUAGCGGCGAGCGAACGGGGAGGAGCCCAGAGCCUGAAUCAGCAUGUGUGUUAGUGGAAGCGUCUGGAAAGGCGCGCGAUACAGGGUGACAGCCCCGUACACAAAAGCGCAUGUGCUGUGAGCUCGAUGAGUAGGGCGGGACACGUGGUAUCCUGUCUGAAUAUGGGGGGACCAUCCUCCAAGGCUAAAUACUCCUGACUGACCGAUAGUGAACCAGUACCGUGAGGGAAAGGCGAAAAGAACCCCGGCGAGGGGAGUGAAAAAGAACCUGAAACCGUGUACGUACAAGCAGUGGGAGCCUCUUUUAUGGGGUGACUGCGUACCUUUUGUAUAAUGGGUCAGCGACUUAUAUUCUGUAGCAAGGUUAACCGAAUAGGGGAGCCGGAGGGAAACCGAGUCUUAACCGGGCGUUAAGUUGCAGGGUAUAGACCCGAAACCCGGUGAUCUAGCCAUGGGCAGGUUGAAGGUUGGGUAACACUAACUGGAGGACCGAACCGACUAAUGUUGAAAAAUUAGCGGAUGACCUGUGGCUGGGGGUGAAAGGCCAAUCAAACCGGGAGAUAGCUGGUUCUCCCCGAAAGCUAUUUAGGUAGCGCCUCGUGAAUUCAUCUCCGGGGGUAGAGCACUGUUUCGGCUAGGGGGCCAUCCCGGCUUACCAACCCGAUGCAAACUGCGAAUACCGGAGAAUGUUAUCACGGGAGACACACGGCGGGUGCUAACGUCCGUCGUGAAGAGGGAAACAACCCAGACCGCCAGCUAAGGUCCCAAAGUCAUGGUUAAGUGGGAAACGAUGUGGGAAGGCCCAGACAGCCAGGAUGUUGGCUUAGAAGCAGCCAUCAUUUAAAGAAAGCGUAAUAGCUCACUGGUCGAGUCGGCCUGCGCGGAAGAUGUAACGGGGCUAAACCAUGCACCGAAGCUGCGGCAGCGACACUAUGUGUUGUUGGGUAGGGGAGCGUUCUGUAAGCCUGUGAAGGUGGCCUGUGAGGGUUGCUGGAGGUAUCAGAAGUGCGAAUGCUGACAUAAGUAACGAUAAAGCGGGUGAAAAGCCCGCUCGCCGGAAGACCAAGGGUUCCUGUCCAACGUUAAUCGGGGCAGGGUGAGUCGACCCCUAAGGCGAGGCCGAAAGGCGUAGUCGAUGGGAAACGGGUUAAUAUUCCCGUACUUGGUGUUACUGCGAAGGGGGGACGGAGAAGGCUAUGUUGGCCGGGCGACGGUUGUCCCGGUUUAAGCGUGUAGGUGUGUGUUCCAGGUAAAUCCGGUUCACUUUAACACUGAGGCGUGACGACGAGGCACUACGGUGCUGAAGCAACAAAUGCCCUGCUUCCAGGAAAAGCCUCUAAGCAUCAGGUAACAUCAAAUCGUACCCCAAACCGACACAGGUGGUCAGGUAGAGAAUACCAAGGCGCUUGAGAGAACUCGGGUGAAGGAACUAGGCAAAAUGGUGCCGUAACUUCGGGAGAAGGCACGCUGACACGUAGGUGAAGUGAUUUACUCACGGAGCUGAAGUCAGUCGAAGAUACCAGCUGGCUGCAACUGUUUAUUAAAAACACAGCACUGUGCAAACACGAAAGUGGACGUAUACGGUGUGACGCCUGCCCGGUGCCGGAAGGUUAAUUGAUGGGGUCAGCGCAAGCGAAGCUCCUGAUCGAAGCCCCGGUAAACGGCGGCCGUAACUAUAACGGUCCUAAGGUAGCGAAAUUCCUUGUCGGGUAAGUUCCGACCUGCACGAAUGGCGUAAUGAUGGCCAGGCUGUCUCCACCCGAGACUCAGUGAAAUUGAACUCGCUGUGAAGAUGCAGUGUACCCGCGGCAAGACGGAAAGACCCCGUGAACCUUUACUAUAGCUUGACACUGAACAUUGAGCCUUGAUGUGUAGGAUAGGUGGGAGGCUUUGAAGUGUGGACGCCAGUCUGCAUGGAGCCGGCCUUGAAAUACCACCCUUUAAUGUUUGAUGUUCUAACGUGGACCCGUGAUCCGGGUUGCGGACAGUGUCUGGUGGGUAGUUUGACUGGGGCGGUCUCCUCCUAAAGAGUAACGGAGGAGCACGAAGGUUGGCUAAUCCUGGUCGGACAUCAGGAGGUUAGUGCAAUGGCAUAAGCCAGCUUGACUGCGAGCGUGACGGCGCGAGCAGGUGCGAAAGCAGGUCAUAGUGAUCCGGUGGUUCUGAAUGGAAGGGCCAUCGCUCAACGGAUAAAAGGUACUCCGGGGAUAACAGGCUGAUACCGCCCAAGAGUUCAUAUCGACGGCGGUGUUUGGCACCUCGAUGUCGGCUCAUCACAUCCUGGGGCUGAAGUAGGUCCCAAGGGUAUGGCUGUUCGCCAUUUAAAGUGGUACGCGAGCUGGGUUUAGAACGUCGUGAGACAGUUCGGUCCCUAUCUGCCGUGGGCGCUGGAGAACUGAGGGGGGCUGCUCCUAGUACGAGAGGACCGGAGUGGACGCAUCACUGGUGUUCGGGUUGUCAUGCCAAUGGCACUGCCCGGUAGCUAAAUGCGGAAGAGAUAAGUGCUGAAAGCAUCUAAGCACGAAACUUGCCCCGAGAUGAGUUCUCCCUGAGACUACGAGUCUCCUGAAGGAACGUUGAAGACGACGACGUUGAUAGGCCGGGUGUGUAAGCGCAGCGAUGCGUUGAGCUAACCGGUACUAAUGAACCGUGAGGCUUAACCUUACAACGCCGAAG